UAUAUAUUAGUGUAAAAAGCACAAAAAUUUUUGAAAUUUUUAGUAAUAAAUAAUAUUUAUUAUAUAUAU
rnacentral:tRNA from 1 species